CUUGCUAAGUUUGAUGGCGACCGGCGCACGGGUGAGUAACACGUAUCCAACCUGCCGAUGACUCGGGGAUAGCCUUUCGAAAGAAAGAUUAAUACCCGAUGGCAUAGUUCUUCCGCAUGGUGGAACUAUUAAAGAAUUUCGGUCAUCGAUGGGGAUGCGUUCCAUUAGGUUGUUGGCGGGGUAACGGCCCACCAAGCCUUCGAUGGAUAGGGGUUCUGAGAGGAAGGUCCCCCACAUUGGAACUGAGACACGGUCCAAACUCCUACGGGAGCAGCUG
rnacentral:rRNA from 1 species